rnacentral:tRNA from 1 species
GCAUACUAAUUGAACUAUUCAAACUUAAUUUCGACUUAAGCAUUAGGGAAUUUCCCAGUAUCCUGG